rnacentral:rRNA from 1 species
AAACCGGAGCUAAUACCGGAUAAUAUUUUGAACCGCAUGGUUCAAAGUGAAGGACGGUCUUGCUGUCACUUAUAGAUGGAUCCGCGCUGCAUUAGCUAGUUGGUAAGGUAACGGCUUACCAAGGCAACGAUGCAUAGCCGACCUGAGAGGGUGAUCGGCCACACUGGAACUGAGACACGGUCCAG